AAAAAAAAAAAAAAAGACAGGACAAGAUAUUCAGAUAGUAUCCUCUGAUGGAAAGGAGGUGCGGUAUCUGCAAGGCGACUUUAUGAUCCCCGCAGGAGUCUUUUGAUAGAUAACAAUAGAUAAUAAAGAGUCGCUAUGCGGCAAGUAAAGACUGCCUCCAGCAUGUUUGCUGUUUAAUUAGACUCCGGGGUUUCUCCUCCUAGUGCGCACUCGCUCUUGUUUCCAGACCUUUUCUUUCUUUCUUCCCCCACCCGGCUUUGUUAGAAAGAAAAUGUGGCAUGCCAAGUGUUGCUUUUCUUAGCGCUUCCCCCCCACCCCCGCUCCCCACCAAAAGCAUCUGAAAGCUCGAUUGGAUGAAAACAUUAAACAUGUGACAAGAAAGCGUGACUUUGUUGAUUUCAUUCCUUGGAUCCGGUCGGUUGGGGGGUAGGCAACAGGGAAGAUGUUUUAAGGAGGAGGGCGGAACGGAGGAAGAAAGAAAGACGGUCCAGGGUUAAUCUCCCUUUAAAUGUCUGGCUUCGGAAGAGAAUUCGGUGCACUGAUGUUUGGCGCUUUUGCUUGCCAACGCUUGGGUCUGACUCUGCCCCGAGGCUGGCCUAUAGUGAAGAGUGAAGGUCCUAAACUCGUGCCCUUUUUCAAAGCCACCUGCGUCUACUUUGUCCUCUGGUUGCCAACCUCCAGCCCUUCCUGGUUCAGUGCCCUGAUCAAGUGUUUGCCAAUCUUCUGCUUAUGGGUCUUCCUGUUGGCACAUGGGAUCAAUUUCCUGACAGCCCAUCACAAUGCCUGUAGGAUCUUUGCUGGUUUGAUAUUCUCUGCCUUGGGAGAUGCUUUCCUCAUCUGGCAAGAGCAGGGCUAUUUUAUUCACGGCUUGUUGAUGUUCGGUAUUACACACAUACUGUAUUCCUCAGCAUUUGGAAUUAAACCUUGGGACCUGAAAGUUGGCUUUGGGAUUGGCUUGGUGUCCAGUUUCUUCUACACCUUCCUGUAUUCCUACCUGUCAGGCCCAUUUACCUAUUUGGUAGCUGUCUACAUUGCCUUAAUUGGCUUUAUGGGCUGGCGGGCUAUGGCUGGUGUGCAGCUCUGCAACGACCUGUGGACUUGGACCAAGCUUUCUGCUUGCAUCGGUUCUGUGCUUUUCAUGGUAUCUGACCUGACUAUUGCGGUCAACAAAUUCUGCUUUCCUGUCCCCUACUCAAGGGUCAUCAUCAUGGCCACUUACUACGCGGCUCAAAUGCUCAUUGCACUUUCUGCGGUGGAGAGCAAGGAUGAAGAAGUUUUCAAAAAGAGAAAAUAAGAGACUGAUGCCUACACACCCAUCAGCUCUGUUGGGGAUGCUACAGCUGCAUUCAUCCUGGAGGAUGUUUCAGAAUCUGUGACUGCAAAUCUUGCUUCUUUGAAGCUUCUCUUUAUACUAUUUGGGUGGUCUUGUCUAGUCCUGAUGAUUGGAGUAUGGAACUCACAGUGGAGGUUUAGAUGGUUUUGGAGUAUUUACUUCCUGACCCUUGGAAACCUCUCUUAACACAUUGGUAUAUUUGUAUAAUACAGAAACUGGUGCUGAACAUUCCAGACAAAGCUCAUUUCAGGACAAUAUUACUAUUAAAUAGGGUAGGCAAUACACUGGAAUUUAAGAGCUUUGCCUUCAACAUGGAAUGUGCAAAAAUCACACAAAAAAAGAGUCUCCAUGCUGCCUAAGCCCCUGUUUUGCAUACAUUGCAUUAGAACUGUAAGCCAUUGUGAGUCUACACAGAAAAAUCUUUGGGACCUGAAAAAUAAUCACAGGAUGUAGGAGCACUCAUGUCAAUCACUAUGCGUAAUGUAACUUAUGUUGUCCUUGGGAGAAAUCAGUUUAAAUUCCAGAUUCGUGAAAUUAUGUAUUUAUAGGCCAUGCAUAGCCUUUAUUUUUAUUUUUAUUUUGGUGAAUGUGAAUCCUGCAGAGCAUCUAUUUUUCUGCAGAUUUUAAAAGCAACAACAAAAUGCAAUGAACAUUCUCAGGCUGGUAGAGGUUGGAGGCAGGGAAAAAUGUGGGAAAAAAGAGGUUUAACCAUAAAACAAGUCAUGCUGUUUAGUGAAUCGGCGCUUCCAAGCGAAAAUGUUCAAUAUUAUUAGUACUGAAACACUAAGAAGGACAUUUGGGCAUUUUUAAGAUACCAGCUGCUUUGUAGACAUAAUCGAUUGGUCAAAAAAAUCACCUUCUUGUACAAGAUUCUUAGCCUCUUUUCCUCUCCACAAUCAGUGCCAGAGUGUCUUGGAAGAGAAUGCACACGCAAGCAUCUGAGCGUGAUGUCAUGAAGAACGACUGUGAAAUGGAUUUCUAAGAUACAUUCUUGUUAAUGUGAAAAAGAAGAGGAGGAGGGAGAAGAAGAAGAGAAGAAGGAAAGAUGUGAGUGAAUAUGGAUAUAGAUGAGCCAAACAUGGAUAUACAUUUUCUAGCGGAAGCAUUUUACAUUGUGUUCAUCUAUAGGUGAUCUUGUAAUAUGCCCUUCCAUAGUCUUUUCCAUAUGUGCUCUCUUAAGUCUAACACUGUGUUUAGUUAAGCUGUUACUCUAUUUAUUUUGAUCUAUAGAAUUCCAGAAUUUUAAGAGAAACUAAUGGGUGUAACAGUAAAUGCAUUCCAGGAUUGGUAGGGACCUAAAGUCUCAUUUGCCACUGAAGCCUUGAUAAAUGGUUAACUGGUUUCAACAUUUACACUUAAUAAUAAUAAUAAUAAUAAUAAUAAUAAUAAUAAUAAUAAUAAUAAUAAUAAUAAUAAUAAUAAUAAUAAUAAUAAUAAUAUAAAUAGAAAAAGAACUAUUGUGGCAAAAGAAAGCAACGAUAAUAGUGUCGAGUGCCUUGGAUGCAAUCCCAAAGAAAAAUCUGGAGCACCACCAGUUAAUUGCAAAAGGCAGCUUUACUUGAAGUUGCUCACAUCCUGUGACAAUACUUUUAAUACGAUUAAACAACAAUAUCUGCAUAGCCCAGGGUUUUGGGAAGGACUCAAUAGAAGGACAAAAAUGCCAUACCCAGUCUAAAUAUCUGAAUGACUGUGACCAACCAUGAUAAUAGUAAGCACCUCUUUUGGAGAUAAGUCUUUUAUAUUGUCAAACACCCCAUGCUAUCAGAAUGUUCUUCCUAAUACUGAGUUAAAGUCACCAUCCCCUGUAAUUUAAGCAUAGUAUUUUGCCCCUGAACAACAGAGAACAUGUUUGUUGCAUCAACCCUAUGACAAUCUUUUGAAUGUUUAAAGAUAGCUAUCAUGUUCACUCUUCAAUCUCUCUUUGCCAGGUUUGGCUACCAGCCUUUAACUAUCUUUGUCAUCCUUCUCUGGACAUGAUCCAGUUUGUUGAUUGCUAUCAUACAACCCAGACUUAAUUAGUAGUGUUCAAGACAUGGAUUGGUUUCAGAACUGCAUUGAAGUUGCAGAGUAAAAAGAAGGUACUUCUGUUUAAAUAAAGGUUAAAAUAUUUAGGGUUUUUUUAAAAAAAACAAAACAAAACGAGGUGAAUUAAAAUUUCUCAGCUUAAUCUCAUGCAGUUGAGAACUUUUCAGUUCAUCUACCGGUGUAGUAAACAACAAAAACAUUUUUGGUUGUCCCUAGCUUCCUUACCCAGAUGUUAUUUUUUCCAAGCCAUCAUUGCCAGGCAAAUUUUUUAGAGUUUUUGGAGUUGCUAGAGACCUUAACUGAUUUUAGUAAGUACCAUUUUUUUUAGAGAAAGCUACUUCCUCAAUGACCAUAUGAGAUUUUUUAAAAAUUUCAAUCUACAACACUUUUUCUUCUGAAAAUAUUUAUGUAAUACAGUGCUUGUAAUACAUUUUAAAUGCUUUAUACUUUACCAGCAGUAUUUCCCAAGACAUAUCCUAUAAAAUAUGGUAUGUAUGUGUAAAUAUGAGUGAGAGGGAUUUUUUUUUUAACAUUGGACAUGUUGACUUAACAUGUUCUCUAAGAUUGUUCUGCUGUUCUUCAAAGAUGCAUCAUAAAGGAAUUGUUGGCUCAAAAUGGAAAUUAUAGGUAGUUGUUAGGGUCUUCUGCUUUAAAGUAUAAUAUAUAAAAUUCAACUGUGAUACCGAAAAGUUGUCCUUGGGAAAAUCUGCCAGAAAUCUGAACAGGCAUAAUAGCAGUAGCAAUAGCACUUAAACUUAUAUACCGCUUUACAGCCCUCUCUAAGCAGUUUACAGUCAGUAUCUUGCCUCCAACAAUCUGGGUCCUCAUUUUACCAACCUCAGAAGGAUGGAAGCUGAGUUAACCUUGAGCCUGAUGAGAUUCGAUCUGCCAAACUGCUGGCAUAUGUAGUAUGUAAUUUUAUUAUAUUUUUAAAAGAAAUCCCACAUUUUUAUAUUUAAAAACUAUUAAAUAUAUUUAACAAUCAGUUAAGUAAUAGCGUUGGGUUGAGAAAAAAUAGAUUUAUUUUUUCAUGAUAACUUUUAAAUUUUUCUAUUAGUUUGGUUGGCUGCUUUCUAAGAACAGCUACGAGAACUGGGAUGGAAAAAAUCCACAUGUCCACAAGAGGUUAAUCAAACUCUGGAUUUUUAAAUUCCAGUACAGUCCACAAGAAAAAGUUGUGAAGGAUGCCAUUUCCUAGAAAUUAGGGCAGGCUGAUAGGCUUAAAUGAAAGGCCUGAUUUGAAUGUCAGAGCAUGGAUAAUGUAUAAUGUUGUUGGAUAGUAUAGUCAACAUUUCAUUCCUGAUGGAAAUUGUGACUCAUCUGGGUGGAAGUGCAAUAAGAGGAUUUAGCAAACUGUUGUCUCAACUCAUCCACUCGCAGUAUGAACUCUGUUCUGAUCAUCACAGAAAUAUGAAGUUUCUCCAAAUUAUUCCAAUUCUGCAAAAUACGUUUAACAUAAACAAUCCUAUCUUUUUUUUAUUGAAAAAGUUUUACAAAAAAAAAGCUUUCCCCCCCCCCUCGACUUCCCGGAACAAACACAAGGUAUAGUUAAAGAUAAAACAAACAUAGUUGAUGGGCCCUACUCACAUUGGGGGAGGCACACUGGAUCUGAUUUUUAUCUCUGGACAGUGGUUAAAUGAUCUGGAUUUAGGAGAUUUAGUUACCGAGCCAUUGUCAUGGUCAGAUCAUUUUCUCCUUCGUCUAGACUUUCGGACCGCCACUCAACACCGCAGGGAGACGGGACCAACACGUUGGUUCCAUCCCAGUGCCUGAUGGACCCGGAGAGGUUCCUGAAGGAGCUUGGGCCACUUCCUGAGGAUCUGGCCCACGGCACGGCUGAGGAGCUAGUUGCGGCCUGGGAAUGGGCCGCGACUGGCGCUUUAGACCGUGUCGUGCCUUUGCAGCCUCUGACCCGGCGCAGAUCUCAACCAGCUCCUUGGUUUUCCGAGGGUCUGAGGGAGAUGAAACGCCGGAGAAGACGCCUAGAGAGUGCCUGGACAUCCAGCUGUUCCGAGGCUGACCGGACACUAGUUAGGUCCUACAGUAGGACUUACCUAGUGGCACUGAGGGAAGCGAAGCGUUCUUACGUUUCCUCCCUCAUUGCGUCGGCAGAUAACUGCCCGGCCGCCCUGUUUCGGGUGACCCGCUCCCUCCUUCAUCAGGAGGUGUGGGAUGACCCCUUACAGGGCCGUGCCGAGGAGUUUAGUGGUUAUCUAUACGAUAAAAUCGUUCAGCUUCGGAACGGAUUGGAUCAACAUUGGGUAGAUCCAGGUGAGAGGCUGGAGACAUGUCUUGUUGAGACUAUUUGGGAUGGAUUUGACCCUGUGACUCCCGAGGACAUGGACAGGUUGUUGGGGUGGUUGAAUGCCACCACAUGUUUAUUGGACCCGUGCCCCUCCUGGCUGGUGCUGGCCACACAGGAGGUGACAUGAGGCUGGCUCCAGGGGAUUAUCAAUGCUUCUUUGAUGGAGGGGGUUUUCCCCGCCGCAUUGAAAGAGGCGGUGGUGAGGCCCCUCCUCAAGAAGCCCUCCCUGGACCCGGCUGUUUUAGGAAAUUAUCGUCCGGUCUCCAACCUUCGCUUUGUGGCGAAGGUUGUUGAGAGUGUGGUGGCACGUCAAUUACCCCAAUACCUGGAUGAAUCUGUCUAUCUAGACCCGUUCCAGUCUGGCUUCCGGCCCGGGUACAGUACGGAGACGGCUUUGGUCGCGUUGGUUGAUGAUCUCUGGAGGGCCAGGGACAGGGGUUACUCCUCUGCCCUGGUCCUAUUAGACCUCUCAGCGGCUUUUGAUACCAUCGACCAUGGUAUCCUGCUGCACUGGUUAGGGAGUUUGGGAGUGGGAGGCACCAUUUAUCGGUGGUUCUCCUCCUAUCUCUCUGACCGGUCGCAGACGGUGUUGGCAGGGGGCAGAGAUCGACCGCGAGGCCCCUCACAUGUGGGGUGCCGCAGGGGUCGAUUCUCUCACUUCUCCUGUUCAACAUCUAUAUGAAGCCGCUGGGUGAGAUCAUCAAUGGCUUUGGGGUGAGGUACCAACUGUACGCUGACGAUACGCAGCUGUACUUUUCCACCCCAGGCCAUCCCAACGAAGCUAUCGAUGUCUGGAAGCUGUACGGGUCUGGAUGGGGAGAAACAGGCUCAAACUCAAUCCCUCCAAGACGGAGUGGCUGUGGAUGCCGGCACCCCGGUACAGUCAGCUGCAGCCGCGGCUGACUGUUGGGGGCGAAUCACUGGCCCCAGUGGAAAGGGAGCGCAACUUGGGCGUCCUCCUGGAUGGGCGGUUGUCUUUCAAAGAUCAUCUGAUGACCGUCGCCAGGAGGGCUUUUUACCAGGUUCGCCUGCUUCGCCAGUUGCGCCCCUUCCUUGACCGGGAUGCCUUAUGCACGGUCACUCAUGCUCUGGUUACCUCUCGCUUGGAUUUCUGCAAUGCUCUCUACAUGGGGCUCCCCUUGAAGAGCACCCGGAGGCUCCAGUUGGUUCAGAAUGCAGCUGCGUGGGUGAUAGUGGGAGCCACACGUGGCUCCCAUGUAACACCACUCCUGUGCAGUCUGCACUGGCUACCUGUGGUCUUUCGGGUGCACUUCAAGGUUUUGGUGACUACCUUUAAAGCGCUUCAUGGCUUAGGGCCAGGGUACUUACGGGACUGCCUGCUGUUACCGAAUGCCUCCCACCAACCUGUACGCUCGCACAGAGAGGGACUCCUUAGGGUGCCGUCCACCAAGCAAUGUCGGCUGGCGGCCCCCAGGGGGAGGGCCUUCUCUGUGGGGGGCUCCUACCCUUUGGAACGAACUUCCCCCUGGACUUCAUCAACUGCCGGACCUUCGGACUUUCCGCCGCGAGCUGAAGACCUAUUUGUUUGUUCGCGCAGGACUGGCAUAGGAUUUUAAUUAGUUUUAAUGUUUUAAUAUUUUAUAAUUUAUGGGGUUUUAUUUUAAUGUUUUAAUUCGGCCAUUUGUGUAAUAAGUUUUUUAACUCAUGGUUUUAUGUGUAUAUUGCUGUCGUUUUUAUCUUGGCUGUAAACUGCCCUGAGUCCCUCGGGAGAAGGGCGGUAUAAAAAUUUAAUAAAUAAUAAUAAUAAUAAUAAUAUGCUAAAAAAAUUUCCCUCCUAACUCAGUUAUACUCCUACAGUUCUCAUCAAUUCCUAACCUCCCCCAAAACAAUCAGAAAUAAUACAUCCUAAUCAUUCAAAGGCAGUCUGAUAACUCUUAGUCUGAUAUCUGUUUUGGAUAUAGUCAAUCCAUUUUUUCCAUUCAUUUAAGUAUCUUUCUUGCGUAUUGUCUUUCAAAAAGGCUGAGAUUUUUGCCAUCUCAGCCAAAUUAGCAACCUUCAAUAUCCAUUCUUCUAUUGUAGGUACUUCUUUUUUCUUCCAAUACUGUCCUAUCAGUAAUCUUGCCACUGUUAUUAGAUUUAAAAUCAGUUUAGUCUCAAUUACUUUACAGUCCGUGAUAAUUUCCAGAGACAAUCCUAUCUUUUGGUUGAUGUUUCUUCUGGGGAUGAAAACCUGAAGGAAUGGAAUGGGACUAUUUCAGAAAGGGGGAUGUGGAAUGUUUUUUCACAGUUAACUCAUAUUUUCUAUGCUCUAGGACUCAGAAAGCAGGUAAUGAUUACACAGGUAGUCCUCAACUUAUGAUCACAAUGGAGCCCAAGGUUUAUGUUGCUAAGCGAGAGAUUUGUUAAGUGAGAUUUGCCCUAUUUUAUGACCUUUCUUGCCACAGUUGUGAAGUGUAUCAUUGCAGUUAGUGACAUGAUUGUUAAAUUAAUCUGGCUUGCCCAUUUGGAUUUUGCUUGUCAGAAGGUCACCAAAAGUGAUCACAUGAUCCCAGGGACUCUGCAACUGUCAUAAAUAUGAAACAAUUGCCAAGAAACGUGACCAUGGGUAUGCUACAACGGUCAUAAGUGCGAAAAAUGGUCAUAAGUCACUUUAUUCAGUGCUGUUGUAACUUUGAACGGUCACUAAAGGAACUGUUGUAAGUUGAAGACUACCUGAAUAGUUCCUGAGUUCCUUUCCAAGUUAUUGGAAAGAUGCUUCUCUUCUUGGAAUAUAUGCACAGGUCUGAGAAAGAAAGUGACUGAAUGAGAGAAAAAGGGCUAUCAAUCUAAUAUAGGAAAAAUUCACUGCAUUCAUAUAAAUGUCUUUUAUUUUGCUACUGAAUCAACCAAUUUUCUGGGCUCUAUUACAUUAAAUCAUAAAGAGGGUGGGUUCUCACGACAUAUUAGUCCACAAAAAGCCUGACUUAAAAUUCAUGCUAAGAUUAGUGUUUUAUGCAAAUGAACUAUGAAUUCUUUGCCACAUCUUGCUAAGUAUCUUCUGUAGCCACCAGCAUCCCUCUUUCUUUCUCAUUAAGUUAUCAUAACUAUCUUAAAAUGUGCCUGCUCAGUGAGAAAUAGACUUGCUUCUGGAUACAUGGCGAUCUAAAAGGGGAUCUUUUAAAGUUUUGAAAGAUUUAAGAAAAGUGAAUAAAAUCAAUGAGAGGAGCACAUCUGAUGGUAGAUAAAGAAAUCGUAUGUUUAAAAGAUUUUUUUGGGGGGGGGGGAACCUCCAUUAUUUCUUCUGAACCAAAAGGAAAAAAAAAAGCAGAUCACAAACACAUUACUAUGAUAAACCCCGACAAGGGAGAGAAAAACCUGGAGUUUUAAAUAUCAGAUACAAGGUUCCAGGACAUAUGAUCUUUCAGUUUGGAAUGUGCAAAUCCUUCCCUCCUUGCAGGAACACUUUAGAUCAGUUUGUGGAAAAUGCAAUAUACAUCAUUGAAUCCAGUUCCUUCAAAGAGGCUGGUUCAUUGCAAAAGAGAAGAUAGCAAUGUUGAUAAGUUGUAGUGGCAUUUGCAGCACAGAUUAAAAUAAUUCUUGUCAAACUGGCUUUAAUAAAGAGUUCCUGGACUGCAGUUGUAUGGAUCCUUUAUCACUUCGUCAAGCUUCAUCACUUGAGACUUUCAAGAAAAGAUUGGACUGCCGUUUGUCAGAAAUGGUGUAGGGUCUCCUGCUUGAGCAGGGGGUUGGACUAGAUGACCUAUAAGGUCCCUUCAAGCUCUGUUAAUCAGUUAAAUCCUAAAGGUCCACAGGAUGUGUUAGAUUUGUCCUUCCAAAAGACCUGAACUGAGAAAGGAAAUUCUCACAUCUCUUUUCUAUUCUCCUAUCCCUUCUUUCAGCUUUCUUCAUGGCAUCAGAGGUCAGAGAUUAGACAGGAAAGAUUGAGACAGAUCAGGUUGCUUGUAGGAGCAGAUGAGUGAACACAACCCAUUCAGGGGAACCAUACCCUUUCCAUCUUGCAACAUGCCUCAACAAAGAGUACCGUAUAUACUCGAAUAUAAGCCGAUCCGAGUAUAAGCCGAGGUCCCCAAUUUUACCCCAAAAACUGGGGUAAACUGGGGACUCGAGUAUAAGCCGAGGGUGGGAAAUGAGGCACCUACCGGUUGGGGAAACCCUCCCUCCCUCAGCUGAGAAGGCUGGCGGCUCCCCCGCCCCGCCCUCUCACUGCACCGGCAGGGCUUCCGUCCGGUAAAAUGUGAAAAAAAGAAAAAAAAAACUCGAGUAUAAGCCGUAUAUACUCGAGUAUAAGCCGAGGGGCUUAAAAAAAAAAAAACUCGAGUAUAAGCCGUAUAGACCCGAGUAUAAGCCGAGGGGACGUUUUUCAGCACAAAAAACGUGCUGAAAAACUCGGCUUAUACUCGAGUAUAUAUGGUAAUAAGUAAACCAACUCUGGAAAUCACCAAAAUGUUUUUCCUCCUUUUGUUUGCAUUCUUUUCAAAAGGAAGAAGUUCUUCAUCUCUUUUUGCACAUCUGUUCUCCCUGGAUGGGACCAUUAAGGUGCAGGGACUGUCAGAGCCUCUAAUGUCAGAGACUGCCAAACUUUGCCACACUUCCGGAGUUUUCUUUUCUUUUUCUUUUCUUUUCAUUUAGAGGAGCUGGUCUCCCUGCAAUAACAUCUUUGCCUUUCUGAAUGCUUGCCUAUCUACCUCGCAGGGGUAAUAUAUGAAAUGUGUGGUGGCUUUUCUUCAAAAAUGGAAGUCAUGUGUGUGUAAGCACAUGCAUUUUCAUAUAUAAAGCAUUCAGUUCAUGUUCUGGAGUUUGCAUAACUGUUUUAAAGAAUGCCAUGUGUUUUCAAGCAACAUUUUAGAAAAAAAUGUGAAUGCAGUGGCCAGCAUUUUUAAAGUAUUGUUUAUCUGUACUGAAAGUAACAGAGUGAAGGGAAGAAAGACACUUGGGUUUUAAUUUGAGAUCAUUCAAAUAAUUAUCCCAAAUUAUUUGCAAAUGUUGGCAAAUGUUGCUAUAUAAUUCAUGUACCGUAUAUACUCGAGUAUAAGCCGAUCCGAAUAUAAGCCGAGGUACCUAAUUU